CUCACUGGCUCUCUUACGUAUGAGAUGAGGACCAUGAUGGUAGGAGAAGUUUAGUGAAAGUCCCAGAACUUCCCCUUCUUAUCCAGAAAUACUGAAUCUCUGAAAGAGCUUUGGAGAUUAAUGCCACCAUUAAAGGGUUGAAAUAAGCAGGCACUGUGACACUUCUUACAAACCCAUUUAACUGGCCACUUUGGCCUGUGCAGAACUCAUAUUGUUACCAGAAAAAGGGGUCUCGAUCCAGAUGUAAAGAGGGGAUUCUUGGAUCUCACGCAGGAAGGAAUUCAAGGCGCCUGCUUCCCUAACGAUAUGGAUUAUGAAGAAUGUGGACUAUUGCAAAUGUAAUCAGCUGGUGACUUCAAUUACAGCUGCUGUACCAGAUGAGAAAUCUCUGCUGGAGAAAAUCAACAUAUUCUCUGGCACUUUGCAUGCAGGAUUCGGUAGAUCCAGUGAUAUUUGAAGUGUCUGUGGCACAUUGAAAUGCAGUGUGGACCCUCUGACAAGCACCCAUAGGAGAAUUACAGCACAGAGCUCUGGGAUUUUGGAGUAAGUCUACGUUCUCUUCUGCAGCUAACUGAUCUCAUUUUGAGAAUCAGCAUCUGGCUUGCUUUUGGGCCAUAACCAUGGGACAUCAGGAGACCAUGCAGCCUAAGUGCUAUCUGGUCUACCUGGCCAUAAAGUUGGGUGUGCAUGUAACAGCAGGGUACCGUCACAUGGAAAUGAUGUAUGAAGCUGAUCUUAGGCAAAUGUGAAGGUGCAAAAAGUGCAUGAGUGACUCAGAUUCCUUUGACACCAACUCCUGUUACAUUGCCUCCCCUCUCUCAAUCCAUGUCUAUGGGCUCCUGGGAUGUACCUUAUAGCUAGUUGACCAUGGAAGAAAAAAGUUCACCACUGGUUUACAGAUGGGCUUGAUAUGUUGGUACUUCCCUGGAUUGGACAGUCGCGGCACUGCAACCACAGUCAAGGAUUAUCUUGAAGGACAGUGGUGAAGGGAAAUCUUCUCAGAGGGCAGAACUUUGAGCAGUACACUUAGUUGCUUACUAUGUUUGGAGUGAGAAGUGGCUGAAAGUAUGGAUCAGUAUUAAUUCAUCAGCAGUUGCUAAAGGUUUGGUUGGUUGGCAACUUCAAAGGAAUAGGAUUGGAAAAUUGGUGACGAGGAAGGCUCUGAAAGAGGCAUGUGAUGGACCUCCCUGAAGGGGCUUAUAUUCCUGCUUCUAGUGGGACAUGUGUGCUUUGUCUUGCUCCUGCUUCACAGCCCAUCUGUGGUGCUUGUGCGUGUGUAUAUCUGGUGGUGCUCUGUUCCAGCCACAUGUACAGAGAGGGCAGCCCUGGGUGACCUUGCAGCCUGGCCUGGGCCAGUGGCCGACCACUGCACACUCCAGAACUUCAGCUACCCAGCUCCUUCUGCAUGUCCACCCACUGGCCUCAGCUUUCCUGUGCCCUGGGGUGUUGUUUCCUGCUGCACUGUCCAGGCUCACGUCCACAACUGGACCCUGACACCUUUAGUGCACCUAACCCCCAGCCUUGGCUCACCUGUGCUCUACAGGAUUGUUUGAAGAACUGUAAAUGCUUUGAGAUUUUGUUCUGCUCACAAGCCAACAAUGUAGAACAUUAUAGAUGCUGGCAGAAGACAUGAGGUUUGUGGGUCAGAGAUUACUCAUGGCAAAAUUAGUAGCCAGCGUUUCAUGUUCAUGUUGGUUUCCUGUUGCCCCCAUUUUGUCCCUUUGUCCCUCCACUAUGAUGCAGAUGAGCCUAGAUGAAGGCCUGCACAUGCCACGAGUUGUGCUACAGUCGGCUACAGUCAGCAACACUGUGCUACAGUUGGCAACACUGAGCUUAGGGACUUGUGGAUUUCAUAGAGAGUGGUGAUGAGACUUCUCUUUGUCCUUAUUUCUGGAUAUUUCUCACUGCAAAAACAACUCUGAGAAGUGACCUGGGUAAAUCGCUGUCAGGGCCUUGCAUUCCUGGCUUACAUAGCAACAGCCUGCAGGGAUACUCAGUGCCAUGGUAGUUGCCUAUCCCAACCAGUGUUUUCCUGCUGCCUCACAAUUGUGGACCAGCCCUGGCCUGGGCAACCAGCAAACUUUUCACACAAAGUAUGAACCCUGGCCUUGGGGAGGGGGGUCCCUCUUCUGAGUGUGCCUUCCUUGGUUGUUCUCCCUCAAGCCCAAGGUACCCUUUAGAUUUCUCUUUGUAGUUAUUGUCCU
rnacentral:lncRNA from 10 species